UACGUAGGGUCCGAGCGUUGUCCGGAGUUACUGGGCGUAAAGCGCGCGCAGGCGGCGGCGUGGGUCCGGCGUGAAAGCCCCCGGCUCAACCGGGGAGAGUCGUCGGGGACCGCGCCGCUUGAGGUCGGCAGGGGCCGGUGGAAUGCCCGGUGUAGUGGUGAAAUGCGUAGAGAUCGGGCGGAACACCCGUGGCGAAGGCGGCCGGCUGGGCCGAAUCUGACGCUGAGGCGCGAAGGCGUGGGGAGCGAACGGG
rnacentral:rRNA from 1 species